GUGCCAGCAGCCGCGGUAAUACGGAGGAUGCAAGCGUUAUCCGGAUUUAUUGGGUUUAAAGGGUGCGUAGGCGGAUUAGUAAGUCAGUGGUGAAAUCCUGCAGCUUAACUGUAGAAUUGCCAUUGAUACUGUUAAUCUUGAGUGCGAUUGAAGUAGGCGGAAUGUGUAAUGUAGCGGUGAAAUGCUUAGAUAUUACACAGAACACCGAUUGCGUAGGCAGCUUACUAAGUCGUAACUGACGCUGAGGCACGAAAGCGUGGGGAUCGAACAGGAUUAGAAACCCCUGUAGUCC
rnacentral:rRNA from 1 species